GGAAGAUGAAGCAAAUUAAAAAGCUUUUUGUUUCAGCAUUAAUAAUUUAUUAAUAUCAACAUUCAUUUUAUCUCUUUACACAACAGACAUUAGUGUGUGUGUGUGUGUGUGUGUGUGUGUGUGUAUGUGUGUGCGUGUGCGUGUGCGUGUGGGGGGGGGCUGUUGGUCCCUGUGGUCGGUCACAAUAGGAGGAAACCGGCCCGUGACAUUCCA
rnacentral:sRNA from 14 species